rnacentral:rRNA from 1 species
AUCUGCCUUUUGGUGGGGGAUAACCAGGAGAAAUUCUGGCUAAUACCGCUUAACCUAAACAACUUUGGAAGGAGUUUAGAAAAGAAUGCCUCUGCAUAUGCAUUCGCCGAUUAAUGAGCCUGCGCGACAUUAGCUUGAUGGUGGGGUAACGGCCUACCAUGGCUACGAUGUCUAGCGGAUUUGAGAGAAUGAUCCGCCACACUGGAACUGAGACACGGUCCAG